rnacentral:rRNA from 1 species
UGGGGAAUAUUGCACAAUGGGCGCAAGCCUGAUGCAGCCAUGCCGCGUGUGUGAAGAAGGCCUUCGGGUUGUAAAGCACUUUCAGCGAGGAGGAAGGUGGUGAGCUUAAUACGCUCAUCAAUUGACGUUACUCGCAGAAGAAGCACCGGCUAACUCCGUGCCAGCAGCCGCGGUAAUACGGAGGGUGCAAGCGUUAAUCGGAAUUACUGGGCGUAAAGCGCACGCAGGCGGUUUGUUAAGUCAGAUGUGAAAUCCCCCGGGCUCAACCUGGGAACUGCAUUUGAAACUGGCAAGCUAGAGUCUCGUAGAGGGGGGUAGAAUUCCAGGUGUAGCGGUGAAAUGCGUAGAGAUCUGGAGGAAUACCGGUGGCGAAGGCGGCCCCCUGGACGAAGACUGACGCUCAGGUGCGAAAGCGUGGGGCAGCAAACAGGAUUAGAUACCCUGGUAGUCCACGCUGUAAACGAUGUCGAUUUUGGAGGUUGUGCCCUUGAGGCGUGGCUUCCGGAGCUAACGCGUUAAAUCGACCGCCUGGGGAGUACGGCCGCAA